GUAUGCUGCCACGGGGACUGAAGAUGGCGCCGCGAGGUGAGAUUCCGGAGGUAAACGGUUGUCCUCCACCCCGCUGGAAAUCCUGUUCUUUCUGAACGGGUGGUAUAAUGCUACCUAUUUCCUGCUGGAACUUUUCAUAUUUCUGUAUAAAGGUGUCCUGCUACCAUAUCCAACAGCUAACCUAGUACUGGAUGUGGUGAUGCUCCUCCUUUAUCUUGGAAUUGAAGUAAUUCGCCUGUUUUUUGGAAAAGCAGACCAUUUGGAGAUGACUCCAUGGGCUGUGUCUGACAGGUACAAAGGGAAACCUCUGCCAGCGAAAGAUGCCACUCAGUAUUAGCGUGGCCUUGACCUUCCCAUCUGCCAUGAUGGCCUCCUAUUACCUGCUGCUGCAGACCUACGUACUCCGCCUGGAAGCCAUCAUGAACGGCAUCUCGCUCUUCUUCUGUGCCUCAGAGCUUUUACUUGAGGUGCUCACCUUGGCCGCUUUCUCCAG
rnacentral:sRNA from 1 species